AGAGUGCGUAAUAGCUCACUGGUCGAGUGGUUCUGCGCCGACAAUGUAGUGGGGCUCAAGUACACCGCCGAAGCCGCGGCAAUGAUUCUUUUGAGGAUUGUUGGGUAGGGGAGCGUCGUGCACAGCUGUGAAGCAGUACCGUGAGGGGCUGUGGAGUGUGUGCGAGUGAGAAUGCAGGCAUGAGUAACGAUUUGGCAAGUGAGAAUCUUGUCCGCCGGAUGACUAAGGGUUCCUGGGUCAAGUUCGUCUUCCCAGGGUGAGUCGGGUCCUAAGGCGAGGCCGACAGGCGUA
rnacentral:rRNA from 1 species